UACGGAGGGUGCAAGCAUUAAUCGGAAUUAUUGGGCGUAAAGGGCGCGUAGGCGGAAAGUUAAGUCAGAUGUGAAAUACCAAAGCUCAACUUUGGUGCUGCAUUUGAAACUGGCAUUCUAGAGGGUUGACGGAGAAAACGGAAUUCCACGUGUAGCGGUGAAAUGCGUAGAUAUGUGGAAGAACACCAGUGGCGAAAGCGGUUUUCUAGUUUAUACCUGACGCUGAGGCGCGAGAGCAAGGGGAGCAAACAGG
rnacentral:rRNA from 1 species